rnacentral:rRNA from 1 species
GGAGAGUUUGAUCCUGGCUCAGGACGAACGCUGGCGGCGUGCUUAACACAUGCAAGUGGCGCGACGAACCAGGCUUCGGCCUGGGGCAGAGCCGCGAACGGGUGAGUAACACGUGGGCAACCUGCCCCGUUGAUCGGGACAACCCGGGGAAACCCGGGCUAAUACCGAAUGUGGUGCCGGCUCAUGAGAGCCGUCACGAAAGGAAGCUUCGGCCUCCGCGUCGGGAUGGGCCAGC